GACGAACGCUGGCGGCGUGCCUAAUACAUGCAAGUAGAACGCAGUUGCGAACGGGUGAGUAACGCGUAGGUAACUGCCUCAUAGCGGGGGAUAACUAUUGGAACCGCUAGCUAAUACCGCCUAAUGUGAGAUGGACAUGCGUUGUGUUAGUUAGUUGGUGAGGUAAAGGCCCACCAAGGCGAAUAUACAUAGCCGACCUGAGGGGGUGGACGGGCAAACUGGGACUGAGAAAAGGCCCAGACUCCUACGGGAGGCAGCAAUAGGGAAUCUUCGGAAAUGGAGGGAAGUCUUGUCGAGAAACGCCGCGUGAGUGAAGAAGGUUUUCGGGUCGGAAAGGUCUGUUGUUAGAGGAGCGGUAACUAACCAGAAAGGGACGGCUAACUACGUGCCAGCCGCCGCGGUAAUUC
rnacentral:rRNA from 1 species